rnacentral:rRNA from 1 species
AUACGUAGGUGACAAGCGUUAUCCGGAUUUACUGGGUGUAAAGGGCGUGUAGGCGGUUUGGCAAGUCAGAAGUGAAAUUCCCGGGCUUAACUUGGGCGCUGCUUCUGAAACUGCUUAACUUGAGUGCUGGAGAGGAUAGUGGAAUUCCUAGUGUAGCGGUAAAAUGCGCAGAUAUUAGGAGGAACACCGGUGGCGAAGGCGGCUAUCUGGACAGUAACUGACGCUGAGGCGCGAAAGCACGGGGAGCAAACAGGAUUAGAUACCCUGGUAGUCCGUGCCGUAAACGAUGAAUACUAGGUGUAGGGGGUAUCGACUCCCUCUGUGCCGCAGUUAACACAUUAAGUAUUCCACCUGGGGAGUACGGCCGCAAGGUUGAAACUCAAAGGAAUUGACGGGG